GUUGCCUGUUAUGAUGCAUUUUAAUGAGAUCUGUAUUAUAGAAAAAAAAAAGGGAAAAUUAAAAUUACAACCAAUUAUGGCUGCCAUUUCUUAUUUUGAAUGAAUUAAACUAUGUACACAUCUGUCAACAUGCCUCAGCUUAACAUCCUACAUCUUUAUUUGCUCUUUAAACUGUGAGAAGAACAUUUCAUGCAUCUUGUAUUAAAAUACACAUCUUUGGAUGAAUGAAGAAUAAACUUCUCAGAACUCAUUUUGCACCUUGAUCAGCUUUUUUUAGAAAAGCAAACAACUUACAGCUUCAUGUCAUUUCUGUUUGAUGAGAUUUUCACAUAAAAGUAAAAACAUAAAAACAAAAGUUAAAUCAUAUCUUACUUUCCCGUUUUUAGAGGAAUGAAAAUGUCUCCAUAAUAUCUGAAAACCUAGAAACUGCUUCAUUCCUUCUUUUAAAAAAGUUCCUUUAA